rnacentral:lncRNA from 1 species
AUGAACACCAGGGCUUUAUCUCAAAUGCACAUGAAGACGACUCUUGUGUUGGGUCAGCUGGAAGUUAUCCUCCUUUAUCGUAGGGAUUUCAGUGUGGAUGUGACACCUUUCCCACCUUCAGGUGUACUACAGGAUACAACCAAGGAAACUCACUGGGCUGGAUUCAUUAGAACUAUCAAAAUGUCUGCCAUGAAUUGAAGAUGAGCUGUAAAGAUCAGAUUAGGGAUGAAUUUCUACCUUCCUUACCCUAACGUUCAGAAUUAUUCAGAGAAGAACCAAAUCCAGGGUGAUUCUGGAUCAUUAUAAAUUCAGAGCUGGAAUGAACCUCAAAGGAUGAGCUAUCCCAAUUUCUUCACCAAGGCAAGUUCAGCUAUAUUGAACCACUGUCAAAG